AUGGAAAGUAGAUGAGUCAAUAGGAGUAAGUACUUGGUAAAUGUAACACGUUCGUGUGAGCUUACGCUAAUUGCUUAUAGUCGUUUAAAAGAGAGCACGCAAAGUUAUAGAGAGAGAGAGAGAGAGAGAGAGAGAGAGAUCAAGUAAAUUAGUAUAGGUGAGAGUUUUUACGUUAACGUGCUAUUAUACGCCCGCAUAUCGCCGACGACAACACAGCGGAAGGAGUGAGUUGAACUGUAACUGCGUGUAACAGUCCUCAUCCCGAGUUGCACACCUGCCAUUCACCUUUAUUAAUAUUUGACUUCGCCGGCGACGAUGACGACGCGAAGACUCCUCGUCGCUUCGAUUCGUAGUCGAGCGAAGCAAAAAUCAUUAGCACAAGCGAAAAGAAAGUACAUAGGUAGCGGAGGGAUAUGUACAGCUAGGGUACCGAGAAGUAGAAGACGUAACACACCGCCACCGGAGGUAUAUAGUGUAAGUCCGGGAGAAGUCCCGCGCUGAUCGAUACGUAAAGCCCAUUUCUCGGUCGAAAGGAGAAAAUGCGCGAUUUAACCGGAGUACGCGAGGCACAAUUGUCGUCAUCUAACGCGUUACCUUUCGCGUUACCGGACAGGCACCGGUUUUUCAAUCUUGCAGGUCACGAACCGAACACUCGCGUCCCCAUUAGAUGCGCCAGUGUUGCGACGUACGGGAUGCCCCCGAAGAGGAGACAUUAGAAAACGCGCACGAGAAAAAGAAGACACUCUUCAAGAGGUGUAAAAUGCACGAAUUUCUCUGUGGCGCUAAAAAAAAGUAUUUCUCGUAAAAAUAUUUAAAAGGAAAUUAGUACAGAUAUGUAUUUUUGAUAUGAAGGAGAGACGUCUGAUAAAGCAUUCCAUCCCUCUAAUGGGAAACCGAGAAUAGAUAAGCGUCCACGUUUCACAAGGGACGUGAAUGCUAAAUUCGGCAAAUAGGACGCGAGUUUUAAAGAUCCCCUGGCAUUCUCUCGAAUGUCGCUCUCCUCGAAAAUUCGGCAUGGAUCGAACGCGGAUGGAUAUUGACCCACGAGCUCGGAACGUGAUAUAACGAUGACUCACUAAAUGUUCGUCGAUUUCUCGUCAAAUGAAUAUCAUGAAUACCGUUACGUAAAUAUUAAUAAAUAUAUUAACACAUAUACUUAUACAUAAAUAUGUAUAUUGUUUAAUUUUUAUUUGUCCUACGCAUUUCUAUAUUAUAUAAAAAUUUAUUCAUUAUUAUGUAUUCGAGAUGUGUUAAAUAUAUUAAAAUAUAUUUCUAAAAAGUUGAGUUUAGUUUCCUUCGCGCGCGAACGGUUCCUUCAAGUAACAGAGGCACCGAGAUUACCGACUCCAAAAAAUAUCGUAAGGAGCGCCCGGGGAAUUUUACUCGAAAUGCAUCGCAUAGAUGGUGAAAGGUGACCGGUAAGCGUGUGCUACGAUCUCCAAAUGUAGGACGAUAAAUGGCACUGGCCCGAUUUAUCGUAGAGAGCAUUGCGGAUUACAUUAGCUCGCGUUCCGCGCGCCAACGUCCCCGCGACGUCACCGAAGAAAGAGGGAUCAUUUUGAAAUUCAAACGUUUCUAAGUUGUAGAGAUAUCAAGAAAUCUAACGGUUAAAAAAUCGUCAAAUAGAUAUGCAACGACGUCAAAACUGGCGCGAAAAAUAUGAUAAAGACUACUUCGUUUCUAUCGAGAGAAAAAAAUAGUUGCAUAAUAUCACUAUAAUGUAAUUAUUUUUAGUCCCAACAUAUAUUUAUAGUUAUUCAACAAUGUAAAUUACAGUUUGCUUCAUAAUAUUGGUUUAUUAAUAUCGGUUCUAUUAUUCAUUCAAAAUAUGUAAUCAAGUGCCUUCACAAUUCUAGGAUUUUCCAGCAAUUUUGUUCAAAAUUUCAGCUGUAUAAUUAGAGAAUUUUUUUUAAUGCCUAUCGUUUUGAUCUCAAGGAUUUUGUUUUCAGCUUCAUUCGGCAAAAUAUUUGCGAGAUUCUCUGCGAUGAUUCGCGACGAUCACGAACUCUUGAUUUAUCGUGCGGAGUGACGGGCGAGCAAUCCCCUGCAUCCUCUGCAUCGGGCGACCGAUGCCUGCACCGCGAAUGCAUGGAAUCUGACCUUUCUUGCGCCGCGUUCAGCUCUCGCGCGAAAUCUCCGCUUACCGUUAGCGUUAGCGGGCCUAUCGCGGGGCGCACACGGGUGUAGGUAAUCCUCCUUGAGCGACGCGAUUUUCAUUACAUUAGCAUUACAUUGUUCCUCCCCUAGGGAAAAAAAAGGAGUCGCGGCGAUAUUCAAACGAGACAAUCGACGGAUCAUUGUACUUUGCAGGUCCUGCGCUAAUAUAAGGAUAUUACAAUUAGGAAUUGUAAUUUCCUUAAGAGGCAGUUGCUGAAUCUUUAGCUCGUGAUGGCCUUAAAAAAAAAUGAGACUCUGGAUUUGGGAAUCUCUCUAUCACAUACGAAUCUCUCAGGGGCCAAGAAUCCUGCCUUUCGUUUCUCCUCGGAUCUUCGAAUUUUUCAACUUGUUCCGAGUGAAACAAAGUGGGAGAAAAGAACCCGAGAAUAUGAAAUCUAACUUCCCAUCGAGAUCAAGACUAAAGGAGAAGAAAAGGAAACAAAAGUAGAUAGACACACAGAAAAAAAA
rnacentral:lncRNA from 1 species